rnacentral:rRNA from 1 species
AGCAGCCGCGGUAAUUCCAGCUCCAAUAGCGUAUAUUAAAGUUGUUGCAGUUAAAAAGCUAGUAGUUGAAUUUCGGGAUCAGUACGUUGGUCGUGCCUUCGGUACGUACUGAUGUUACUGGUUUCUACCUUCUGAAGAACCGUCAUGUCAUUAAUUUGGUGUGGCGGGGAAUCAGGACUGUUACUUUGAAAAAUUAGAGUGUUUAAAGCAGGCUCGCGCUUGAAUACAUUAGCAUGGAAUAAUGAAAUAAGACGUUCGAUCCUAUUUUGUUGGUUUCUAGGAUUGACGUAAUGAUUAAUAGGGAUAGUUGGGGGCAUUAGUAUUCAAUUGUCAGAGGUGAAAUUCUUGGAUUUAUUAAAGACUAACUACUGCGAAAGCAUUUGCCAAGGAUGUUUUCAUUAAUCAAGAACGAAAGUUAGGGGAUCGAAGACGAUCAGAUACCGUCGUAGUC